CUCUCUCUCUCUCUCUCUCUCUCUCUCUCUCUCUCUCUCUCUCUCCCAGGUGUGCUCAUGGUGAAGCAGGCAGCAGGUGUGUUGCAGGAUAAUCAGCUGAUGAGCUGCAGGUGGAACUGAGUGGUUGGUCUCUGAGAGUCUCCAUAAAAGCAGACUGCAGCCUUCAUUCAAAGCUGGACCAUGGUCUAAUCUCCAUGCAGCUGAUUCCUGCCUGCUGGUCCUGGGAUCUUCUAGCCUGCUGGUCCUGGGAUCUUCUAGCCUGCUGGUCCUCCACUCUACCUUGGAUUGUGUUCUAAUGGAGGAUUCCACCUCUCACCAGCUUCAUCCUGGAAACCACAGGCUUCAUGUGGACGGAACACUGUGGGAGAAAUACCUACCUUCUAUGAACUCUUGGAUGCCAACAACCUUCCAUGUGUUGAGUUCCUGAAAAGGGAGAGAGCUGAGAAAAGCCAGUUGUCAAUGACUGAAUUCCUACUCAUCAUGAGACGGCAGCACGCUGGCAGCAUGUUAAACACGUCCACAUCCAGGAUAUCUCAGGACUGGAGCUAAAAUUACACUGAUUACACCCAGAAGAAGAAGGAGGAAGAUAGGAACAGAACUAGGAGAGAGAUGGACCAACACCUUCAGCUUCUCAGGACCUAAACAUGUUCACAGUCUCAGUUAAGGUGAUAAAUUCACUGUGAAUUCAUUCUGACUCCUCAUGGCACAUAUUUGCUGUUUGUUGAUUUUAAAGACAUUUGUAGUCAUUUUUGAAGUACAUUUUCUCAUUUUUUGGGAGGAAGAUGUUAAAAAAUUGUUCUUGUAGUUGUUCUUUUCAUAGUUGUGGUUGUUAUCAUUAUGGCUGUUGUUGUUUUUGUCCUUGUUGUUGCUGUUCUUGUGGUUGUUUUUUUUGUUCUUGUGGUUGUUCUUAUUAUAGUUGUUGUUGUUCUUGUUGUCAUUCUUGUUGUUGUUAUUUUCCGUGCCGUUGUAGUUCUUGUUCAUGUUUUUGUCAUUGUUGUUGUUAUACUUGUUAUUAUAGUUGUUUUCAUUGUUCUUGUUAUUUUUGUUGUUGUUAUACCUGUUGUUAUAGUAGUUUUCGUUGUUGUUCUUGUUGUUGUUGUUAUUUUCUGUGCCGUUGUAGUUCUUGUUCAUGUUCUUGUCAUUGUUCUUGUUGAUGUUGUUGUUCUUGUUAUUUUUGUUGUUGUUGUCAUAUUUGUUAUUAUAGUUGUUUUCAUUGUUGUUCUUGAUGUCAUUCUUGUUCUUGUUAAUAUAGUUGUUGUUGUUGUUAAUAUAGUUGUUGUUCUUGUUGUUUUUGUUUCUUUGUAUAAGUUGCCUUGUACUUAUAGUUGUUCUUGUUCUAUUAGUUAUUACAGUUGUUGUUUUUAUUAUUAUCGAUGUAAAGUAGUAUUUUUCUGUUAUAAUAUGUCAGGUUUAAAACCUUCACAUGCUAAUUAACAUCAUAACUAGGACUCCAGGCUCUUAGCCCCGAUAUUUAAACGUGUUCGGUUCAUUCAUCAUCCAGUCUCGUUGUUUAUGUCCUGGGAAGA